GCGACUUUUAUCCGGUAACGGAAACGGUCGGACAGGGUGAAUAUUCCGUUGGCGAACUGACGGUACCGGAGGAAUAAGCACCCGGCUAACUUCGUGC
rnacentral:rRNA from 1 species